CAGCCGUAAACUAUGCUCGCUAGGUGUCAGGCAUGGCGCGACCGUGUCUGGUGCCGCAGGGAAGCCGUGAAGCGAGCCACCUGGGAAGUACGGCCGCAAGGCUGAAACUUAAAGGAAUUGGCGGGGGAGCACAACAACGGGUGGAGCCUGCGGUUUAAUUGGACUCAACGCCGGACAACUCACCGGGGACGACAGCAAUAUGUAGGCCAGGCUGAAGACCUUGCCUGAAUCGCUGAGAGGAGGUGCAUGGCGUAG
rnacentral:rRNA from 1 species